AUACGGAGGGUGCAAGCGUUACUCGGAAUCACUGGGCGUAAAGCGCACGUAGGCGGACUGGAAAGUUGGGGGUGAAAUCCCGGGGCUCAACCCCGGAACUGCCUCCAAAACUUCCAAUCUAGAGAUCGAGAGAGGUGAGUGGAAUUCCAAGUGUAGAGGUGAAAUUCGUAGAUAUUUGGAGGAACACCAGUGGCGAAGGCGGCUCACUGGCUCGAUACUGACGCUGAGGUGCGAAAGCGUGGGGAGCAACCAGGAUUAGAUACCCUAGUAGUCC
rnacentral:rRNA from 1 species